UGGCCUCACCCUUCCCUUCUGCUACCUACAAAAGCCCCCUGACAUAGCACUCUUGUCAUACUGAGACUAAGGUAGAAAAAGACACUUCCAAAGGGUGUCAAUGACAAGAGAGAAAUAGACAUAGAGUGGUCACUUCAUUUACCAACCCUGGAACCGCAGACCUCUGGGCUUCCUGGCCCAUUUCUGCCUCGGUUGCCUGCCUCCAACCACAAUCCAGUUUUUUGGCUCCCAGAGACAGACAUGCCCAGAUCUGAACACCACCCACCUGGAUAAAGAAAAUGGGUACGGCCAAGACCAUAGACCUAGUGAUUGUCAGAUGAACAAUUAGACCCACAGAACCAUCCAAGCUACAGAGGACGCAUUCUGCCUUCCCUUGGAUCCUGUGGUUUGAGGAUGGAGGUCUAGGACCGUGGCAGGCUUUUUGUCCCAUGAGGGAAGGCCAUGGAGCUGAGGAAGGGGAAGAACACACACACCUAAUGGAAUCUCGAGAGAAAGUUCAGACAUCAAAAGACAGAAGCGACAGAGACCCAGAUGGAGUCUCACCCAGCCUGGAGUACAGUAGUAUGAUCUGCAACCUUUGCCUCCCAGGUUCAGGCGAUUCUCCUGUCUCAGCCUCCGGAGUAUCUGGGAUUACAGGCACGUGCCACCACGCCCGGCUAAUUUUUUGUAUUUUUAGUAGAGAUGGGUUUCACCGUGUUAGCCAGGAUGGUCUCGAACUCCUGACCUCGUGAUCUACCCGCCUUGGCCUCCCAAAGUGCUGGGAUUACAGGCAUGAGCUACCGUGCUCGGCCAUGCCUGGCUAAUUUAUAUAUACAUAUAUAUAUAUAUAUAUAUUUUUUUUUUUUUUUUUUUUUUUUUGAGACAGAGUCUUGCUCUGUCACCCAGGUUGGAGUGCAGUGGCAUGAUCUCGGCUCACUGCAAGCUCGCCUCCCAGGUUCACGCCAUUCUCCUGCCUCAGCCUCCUGAGUAGCUGGGACUACAGGCGCCCGCAUGACGCCCGGCUAAUUUUUUGUAUUUUUAGUAGAGACGGGGUUUCACUGUGUUAGCCAGGAUGGUCUCGAUCUCCUGACCUCGUGAUCUGCCCACCUCAGCCUCCGAAAGUGCUGGGAUUACAGACAUGAGCCACCGCACCCAGCCUUAUAUAUAUAUUUUUUAUUAGUGAAGAGGUUUCGCCAUAUUGGCCAGACUGGUCUCGAACUCCUGACCUCAGGUGAUCCACCCACCUCGGCCUCCCAAAGUGCUGGGAUUACAGGUGGGAGCCACCGCACCCUGCCUAAAAUGCAAAAGAUUUUGAAUGGCGAGAAUGGCGACAUGAUGCCACAAGUGGAAAAUUCCACACCUGGCUGCAUGUAAUGGGUUGAAGUCAAAAUGCAGUCAAAAACUUUGUUUCAUGUACAAAAUUAUUAAAAACAUUGUAUAAAAUCACCUUCAGACUAUGUGUAUGUGAAACCUAAGUGAAUUUAAUGGCUAGACUUCAGUUGCAUUCCCAAGAUCUCUCAUUAUGUAUAUGCAAAUAUUUUGAAAUUCAACCUGGUUCCACACAUUUUAGAUAAGGGAUACUCAAGC
rnacentral:lncRNA from 1 species